UACGGAGGGGGCUAGCGUUGUUCGGAAUUACUGGGCGUAAAGCGCGCGUAGGCGGCUUUGCAAGUUAGAGGUGUAAGCCCGGAGCUUAACUCCGGAACUGCCUUUAAAACUGCAUCGCUAGAAUCGUGGAGAGGUGAGUGGAAUUCCGAGUGUAGAGGUGAAAUUCGUAGAUAUUCGGAAGAACACCAGUGGCGAAGGCGACUCACUGGACACGUAUUGACGCUGAGGUGCGAAAGCGUGGGGAGCAAACAGG
rnacentral:rRNA from 1 species